CGCAUCUGUGCAUGCAGUAUAUCAAUAAGCGGAGGAAAAGAAACUAACAAGGAUUCCCUUAGUAACGGCGAGUGAAGCGGGAAGAGCUCAAAUUUGAAAUCUUCAAGGUUUUACCUUGACGAAUUGUAGUUUAAAGAAGUGUUUUCUGUUGAAGUUUUGGUAAAAGUUCUUUGGAAUAGGACAUCAUAGAGGGUGAGAAUCCCGUAUUUGACCAUUAUUUUCAGCUGUGUGAUACACUUUCAAAGAGUCGGAUUGUUUGGGAAUGCAGUCCAAAAUGGGUGGUAAAUUUCAUCUAAAGCUAAAUAUUGGCGAGAGACCGAUAGCGAACGAGUACCGUGAGGGAAAGAUGAAAAGAACUUUGAAAAGAGAGUUAAACAGUACGUGAAAUUGUCAAAAGGGAAGCGUUUGACACCAGUGUUGUUUUCUCGAAAAUCAAUUAAAAAGAGUUAGAUUUUGUUGUGUAUUGACCUUAACAGCUUGCAUUUCAAUUUUCUUGCUUUUUUUAAUGCACUUUUCGUUUAACAAGUCAACAUCAGUUUCUUUUGUUGUAAAAAGGUCAUUGGGAGGUGGCUUUCUUUUCGGAGAAAGUGUUUAUAGCCUUUGACUCCUGCAAUCGGAGAGACUGAGGUCUGACAGCGUAGAUCCUUCGGGGUUAGAUACAUUUGUGCUAAGUUAUAGCUUUUUAUAGACAACUUGUUGACUAUGAUUAGUCUUGUAGCUUACUCGCUUAUGCUAUUUUACCUACGCUUAGGAUGUUGAUGUGAUACUGCGAGCA
rnacentral:rRNA from 1 species